rnacentral:rRNA from 1 species
UACGGAGGAUGCGAGCGUUAUCCGGAAUGAUUGGGCGUAAAGCGUCCGCAGGUGGCUGUGUAAGUCUGCUGUUAAAGAGUCAUGCUCAACAUGAUAAGAGCAGUGGAAACUACACGGCUAGAGUGCGUUCGGGGCAGAGGGAAUUCCUGGUGUAGCGGUGAAAUGCGUAGAGAUCAGGAAGAACACCGGUGGCGAAAGCGCUCUGCUAGGCCGCAACUGACACUGAGGGACGAAAGCUAGGGGAGCGAAUGGG